rnacentral:rRNA from 1 species
UACAGAGACUGCAAGCGUUAUUCGGAUUCACUGGGCGUAAAGGGUGCGCAGGCGGCCAGGUGUGUUAGGCGUGAAAGCCCGGGGCUUAACCCCGGAAUUGCACCUAAAACUACUUGGCUAGAGCAUUGGAGAGGGUAGCGGAAUUCACGGUGUAGCAGUGAAAUGCGUAGAUAUCGUGAGGAACACCAGAGGCGAAGGAGGCUACCUGGACAAUUGCUGACGCUCAGGCACGAAAGCGUGGGGAGCAAAAGGG